UACGGAAGAUCCGAGCGUUGUCCGGAAUUAUUGGGCGUAAAGAGCUCGUAGGCGGCUUGUCACGUCGGGUGUGAAAGCCCGGGGCUUAACCCCGGGUCUGCAUUCGAUACGGGCUAGCUAGAGUGUGGUAGGGGAGAUCGGAAUUCCUGGUGUAGCGGUGGAAUGCGCAGAUAUCAGGAGGAACACCGAUGGCGAAGGCAGAUCUCUGGGCCGUAACUGACGCUGAGGAGCGAAAGCGUGGGGAGCGAACAGG
rnacentral:rRNA from 1 species